AACGAACGCUGGCGGCAGGCUUAACACAUGCAAGUCGAACGCAUGCCUUCGGGCAUGAGUGGCAGACGGGUGAGUAACGCGUGGGAACCUACCCCUUGGUACGGGAUAGCUCCGGGAAACUGGAGAUCAUACCGUAUGUGUCCUGAGGGACAAAGAUUCGUCGCCACGGGAUGGGCCCGCGUCGGAUUAGCUAGGUGGUGGGGUAACGGCCUACCAAGGCGACGAUCCGUAGCUGGUCUAAGAGGAUGAUCAGCCACAUUGGGACUGAGACACGGCCCAAACUCCUACGGGAGGCAGCAGUGGGGAAUAUUGGACAAUGGGCGCAAGCCUGAUCCAGCCAUGCCGCGUGAGUGAUGAAGGCCCUAGGGUUGUAAAGCUCUUUCACCGGUGACGAUAAUGACGGUAACCGGAGAAGAAGCCCCGGCUAACUUCGUG
rnacentral:rRNA from 1 species